GAUGAAGAACGCAGCGAAAUGCGAUACGUAAUGUGAAUUGCAAAUUCAGUGAAUCAUCGAGUCUUUGAACGCACAUUGCGCCCCCUGGUAUUCCGGGGGACAUGCCUGUCCGAGCGUCAUUGCUGCCCUCAAGCACGGCUUGUGUGUUGGGCCCCGUCCUCCGAUCCCGGGGGACGGGCCCGAAAGGAAGCGGCGGCACCGCGUCCGGUCCUCGAGCGUAUGGGGCUUUGUCACCCGCUCUGUAGGCCCGGCCGGCGCUUGCCGAUCAACCCAAAUUUUUAUCCAGGUUGACCUCGGAUCAGGUAGGGAUACCCGCUGAACUUAAGCAUAUCAAUAAGCGGAGGA
rnacentral:misc_RNA from 1 species